UACGAGGGGGGCAAGCGUUGUUCGGAAUUAUUGGGCGUAAAGGGUGCGUAGGCGGUUUGGUAAGUCUGAUGUGAAAUCUAUGGGCUCAACUCAUAGUCUGCAUCGGAAACUGCCGGGCUUGAGUGUGGGAGAGGUGAGUGGAAUUCCUGGUGUAGCGGUGAAAUGCGCAGAUAUCAGGAGGAACACCGGUGGCGAAGGCGGGAUCUCUGGGCCGUAACUGACGCGUGAGGAGCGAAAGCGUGGGGAGCGAACAG
rnacentral:rRNA from 1 species